GGAUGAUGAUUUAAGGACUGAUGCAGAUGGAGACAUAUUGCCCGGGUCAUAGAAAUGACAGAGGAGGCGUGUAUUUUUGUUUGAGUGCAAUCAAAAUAUGAUGAGAAAUGUGCACUCAAU
rnacentral:ribozyme from 1 species